rnacentral:misc_RNA from 1 species
UCCGGCUUAUCACCGGCAGUCCCUCUAGAGUGCCCAACUCAAUGCUGGCAACUAGAGGCGAGGGUUGCGCUCGUUGCGGGACUUAACCCAACAUCUCACGACACGAGCUGACGACAGCCAUGCAGCACCUGUGUUCCCGCCAGCCGAACUGAAGGAUGCCGUCUCCAGCACCCAAACGGGACAUGUCAAACCCAGGUAAGGUUCUUCGCGUUGCAUCGAAUUAAGCCACAUGCUCCGCCGCUUGUGCGGGCCCCCGUCAAUUCAUUUGAGUUUUAACCUUGCGGCCGUACUCCCCAGGCGGUCGACUUAUCGCGUUAACUGCGCCACUAAGAACUCGAGGCUCCCAACGGCUAGUCGACAUCGUUUACGGCGUGGACUAC